AAUAUUGGACAAUGGGGGCAACCAUGAUCCAGCCAUGACGCGUGUGUGAAGUAGGUCUGCGGAUUGUUAUGCACAUUAAGUUGGGAGGGAGGGCUUAAGGCUAAUAUCAUGAAGUUUUGACGUUACCAACAGUAUAAGCACCGGCUAACUCUGUACCAGAAGACGCGGUAAUACCGAGGGUGCAAGCGUUAAUCGGAAUUACUUGGCGUUAAGCGCGCGUAGGUGGUUCAGUAAGAUGGGUGUGAAAUCCCCGGGCUUAACCUGGGAACUGCUUUCAUAACUGCUGAGCUAGAGUACGGUAGAGGGUAGUGGAAUUUCCUGUGUAGCGGUGAAAUGCGUAGAUAUAGGAAGGAACACCAGUGGCGAAGGCGACUACCUGGACUGAUACUGACACUGAGGUGCGAAAGCGUGGGGAGCAAACA
rnacentral:rRNA from 1 species